rnacentral:rRNA from 1 species
UCCGUUAACGAACGAGACCUUGACCUGCUAAAUAGACGGGUUGACAUUUUGUUGGCCCCUUAUGUCUUCUUAGAGGGACAAUCGACCGUCUAGGUGAUGGAGGCAAAAGGCAAUAACAGGUCUGUGAUGCCCUUAGAUGUUCCGGGCUGCACGCGCGCUACACUGACAGAGACAACGAGUGGGGCCCCUUGUCCGAAAUGACUGGGUAAACUUGUGAAACUUUGUCGUGCUGGGGAUGGAGCUUUGUAAUUUUUGCUCUUCAACGAGGAAUUCCUAGUAAGCGCAAGUCAUCAGCUUGCGUUGACUACGUCCCUGCCCUUUGUACACACCGCCCGUCGCUAAUACCGAUUGAAUGGAUA